rnacentral:rRNA from 1 species
UACAGAGGUCUCAAGCGUUGUUCGGAUUCAUUGGGCGUAAAGGGUGCGUAGGCGGCGCGGUAAGUCGGGUGUGAAAUCUCGGAGCUUAACUCCGAAACUGCAUUUGAUACUGCGGUGCUUGAGGACUGGAGAGGAGACUGGAAUUUACGGUGUAGCAGUGAAAUGCGUAGAGAUCGUAAGGAAGACCAGUGGCGAAGGCGGGUCGUCUGGAC